rnacentral:rRNA from 1 species
GGAAACAGGUUAAUAUUCCUGUACUUGGUGUUACUGCGAAGGGGGGACGGAGAAGGCUAUGUUAGCCGGGCGACGGUUGUCCCGGUUUAAGCAUGUAGGCGGAGGUUCCAGGUAAAUCCGGUACCUUUUAACGCUGAGGUGUGAUGACGAGGCACUACGGUGCUGAAGUAACAAAUGCCCUGCUUCCAGGAAAAGCCUCUAAGCAUCAGGUAACAUCAAAUCGUACCCCAAACCGACACAGGUGGUCAGGUA